CUGAUUGCCUGGCAGGGGAGAUACCGUGAUCACGAAGGUGGUCAUCCCAGGGCAAGGUUUAUCCAUUGCACUCCAGAUGUGCUGACCCCUGUGAUGCCCCCAAAUGUGAGAAUCUCAACUGCAUAAUUUUUGGUGGAGGGGGGAAUACAUUUGUGCUCUUCUCUG
ensembl:snRNA U1 U1 spliceosomal RNA